AGAGUUUGAUCCUGGCUCAGAUUGAACGCUGGCGGCAUGCCUUACACAUGCAAGUCGAACGGUAACAGGCCGCAAGGUGCUGACGAGUGGCGAACGGGUGAGUAAUGCAUCGGAACGUGCCCAGUAGUGGGGGAUAGCCCGGCGAAAGCCGGAUUAAUACCGCAUACGACCUGAGGGUGAAAGGGGGGGAUCGCAAGACCUCUCGCUAUUGGAGCGGCCGAUGUCAGAUUAGCUAGUUGGUGGGGUAAAGGCCUACCAAGGCAACGAUCUGUAGUUGGUCUGAGAGGACGACCAGCCACACUGGGACUGAGACACGGCCCAGACUCCUACGGGAGGCAGCAGUGGGGAAUUUUGGACAAUGGGCGCAAGCCUGAUCCAGCAAUGCCGCGUGCAGGAAGAAGGCCUUCGGGUUGUAAACUGCUUUUGUCAGGGAAGAAAUCUUCUGGGUUAAUACCUCGGGAGGAUGACGGUACCUGAAGAAUAAGCACCGGCUAACUACGUGCCAGCAGCCGCGGUAAUACGUAGGGUGCGAGCGUUAAUCGGAAUUACUGGGCGUAAAGCGUGCGCAGGCGGCUUUGCAAGACAGAGGUGAAAUCCCCGGGCUCAACCUGGGAACUGCCUUUGUGACUGCAAGGCUAGAGUACGGCAGAGGGGGAUGGAAUUCCGCGUGUAGCAGUGAAAUGCGUAGAUAUGCGGAGGAACACCAAUGGCGAAGGCAAUCCCCUGGGCCUGUACUGACGCUCAUGCACGAAAGCGUGGGGAGCAAACAGGAUUAGAUACCCCGGUAGUCCAA
rnacentral:rRNA from 1 species